rnacentral:rRNA from 1 species
AGUCAACCUACCCUAUGGACGGGAAUAAUCUCGGGAAACUGAGGAUAAUUCCAGAUAGAACACUAUGCCUGGAACGGUUUGUGUUCCAAAUGAUUUAUCGCCGUAGGAUGGGACUGCGUCCUAUCAGUUUGUUGGUGAGGUAAUGGCCCACCAAGACUAUUACAGGUACGGGCUCUGAGAGGAGUAGCCCGGAGAUGGGUACUGAGACACGGACCCAGGCCCUAUGGGGCGCAGCAGGCGAGAAAACUUUGCAAUGUGCGAAAGCACGACAAGGUUAAUCCGAGUGGUUCCUGCUAAAGGAACCUUUUGACGGUCCUAAAAACACCGUUGAAUAAGGGGUGGGCAAGUUCUGGUGUCAGCCGCCGCGGUAAAACCAGCACCUCAAGUGGUCAGGAUGAUUAUUGGGCCUAAAGCAUCCGUAGCCGGCUCUGUGAGUUUUCGGUUAAAUCUGUGCGCUCAACGUACAGGCUGCCGGGAAUACUGCAGAGCUAGGGAGUGGGAGAGGUAGACGGUACUUGGUAGGAAGGGGUAAAAUCCUUUGAUCUAUUGAUGACCACCUGUGGCGAAGGCGGUCUACCAGAACACGUCCGACGGUGAGGGAUGAAAGCUGGGGGAACAAACCGGAUUAGAUACCCGGGUAGUCCCAGCUGUAAACCAUGCAAACUCAAUGAUGCAUUGGCUUGAAGCCAAUGCAGUGU